GUGGUGCAAGGUGGUGCAACAGGAAAUCUCCCUCUCCCUGAGAGUGGGCAGCAGUGGAACAGACAGCAGCAACAGGAGCAGUGAUGAGCCACAACCAAAAGUCCAAGGGCAGCAGGAUGCUGGAUAUCAGAUCCAACACCCAGGGUGUGCAGCAUCCUGGAUGAUAUUUAGAAAACUUUCAUGGGCAGAACUUGCUGGGGACAGCAAGCAGCCCACAGCCCAAUGAAGAGAGUAGAGUGCUGAACCCACUUUUUUUUUUUUUUACAUUUUGUAUUUAUUUUAUUUUAAUAUUUUGAAGUUGUAUAUAGUUAUUAUUGUUGCUGCAGUGU